rnacentral:rRNA from 1 species
CGGGUGCACUGAUCCAGCCGGGCCUUUCCCUCUGUGGAACCCCAUGGCCUUCACUGGCUGUGGUGGGGAAACAGGACUUUUACUUUGAAAAAAUUAGAGUGCUCCAGGCAGGCCUAUGCUCGAAUACAUUAGCAUGGAAUAAUAGAAUAGGACGUGUGGUUCUAUUUUGUUGGUUUCUAGGACCGCCGUAAUGAUUAAUAGGGACAGUCGGGGGCAUCAGUAUUCAAUUGUCAGAGGUGAAAUUCUUGGAUCUAUUGAAGACUAACUACUGCGAAAGCAUUUGCCAAGAAUGUUUUCAUUGAUAAGGAACGAAAGUUAGGGGAUCGAAGACGAUCAGAUACCGUCGUAGUCUUAACUAUAAACUAUGCCGACUAGGGAUCGGACGAUGUUAUUCUUUGACGCGUUCGGCACCUUUCGAGAAAUCAAAGUGCUUGGGCUCCAGGGGGAGUAUGGUCGCAAGGCUGAAACUUAAAGAAAUUGACGGAAGGGCACCACCAGGGGUGGAACCUGCGGCUUAAUUUGACUCAACACGGGGAAACUCACCAGGUCCAGACACAGUGAGGAUUGACAGAUUGAGAGCUCUUUCUUGAUUCUGUGGGUGGUGGUGCAUGGCCGUUCUUAGUUGGUGGAGUGAUUUGUCUGCUUAAUUGCGAUAACGAACGAGACCUUAACCUGCUAAAUAGCCCGUACUGCUUUGGCAGUUCGCCGGCUUCUUAGAGGGACUAUCGG